UCCAGUGCAAGCAUCUCUUGGCAGUUUACCUUAGUCAGGUUAUGAGGACUUGUCAGCAGCUAAGUGUCUCCGACAAGCAGUUGACUGACAUAUUAUUGAUGGAGAAGAAACAAGAAGCAUAAAAGGACUGCAGGAGGUGCUGUGGGUUGGAGCCGUGGGCUGUGGAGGGUUUGCGUAUGAUUAGAAGCCUUGUCCAGUCUUCUCAAGAAAAACCCUAAGCCAGUUUCUGAGGUGCUUGGGUAAAAAAUGUCCCUGGAUGGAAUCAAGAUUUUAAAUUCAAAUAAAGCCUAAUAUCAUGUUGUGUCCA